UGCCCUGCCACGCACACUCCCAUGAAAUCUGCUUAGCAUGCCAAUAGGCCUGGAAGCAUUCACGAGGCAAAGAGUUUCACGGAAGAUCACCUCCUGGUGUUCUGGCAUUUUCAUUAACCCAUAUACUCAUACCUUCUUCCUGAGUUAGUCUGGUGUAUGGAUCCAUGUGCUCUCUUUUAGUAUUAUCUUCUUAUGAGUGCCUUUUAAGAUUGAAUUCUGACAUAGCUAAGCCUUCACCAAUGUUCCAAAGUCUUAGAAAGUCCUUGAGCUGACCAUGGGCUUGGAAUUCAGUAAGAAUGUUGCCUAUUCAGUGAUAUUCAGAAUUGCCUCUGGUAUUACACUAUCACUUAGAAUAAAAGCCAAGUUGCUCCCAUAUGCAGGAAUUUACAAUGGUUUAGGAAGUAGAUCGGGCUGUGGUCUUAUAGUAUUGCAUUAUUCAUGAGAUGGUUAGCUAGAACGGAACUCCCUAAUUAAACCAUGACUUGGGUGUGAAAGCCCUUGCCCUAGGAGUGUAAAGACCUCACACCUGGCUUCUAAGACUAUAGCUGUUAUUUUAUUGCCCAGUUCUUGCCAGUCUUUGUGUUUACAUUCCUCUGUUUUGUGUAAGAGUCAUUAAGCAUCCGGUAACCUCAUUUGUACCUUGCUGAUGUGUCACCUAACUUCCCUAUUUUCUUCUGUAUAAAAAGUUUGAUGAUCAAUUUGACAAAUUACAUUCAGAUUCUACACAACCUCUCCUGUGUGCAUCUGUCUGUCAUUUCAUCCAAGGCUUUGCACACCUGCGACUAGAAUCCUGUUCCACGCACACAAAGGGGCCCAGAGGGUCAGCGGCAGAUUUGACGCCCGAACAGGGACACCAGAGCAGGAGAUAAGAAGAGUAUUCCUUCGGGUCCCUGCCUGCAUUGUGGCAAAGGAAAGCACUGGAGAAUGAUUGCAAGUCAAAAUCCCACAAAGAUGGGACUCCACUCAUUAAAGAAGCAGGUAAGGCAAAAAACUAAAGGGGCAGUCUCUUAGCCCCAUUCAGGAACUGUGGAGCUCAUUAUAG
rnacentral:lncRNA from 1 species